GUAGGGUGCAGGCGUUAAUCGGAAUUACUGGGCGUAAAGCGUGCGCAGGCGGUUUGCUAAGACAGGUGUGAAAUCCCCGGGCUUAACCUGGGAACUGCGCUUGUUACUGGCAAGCUGGAGUGUGGCAGAGGGGGGUGGAAUUCCACGUGUAGCAGUGAAAUGCGUAGAGAUGUGGAGGAACACCGAUGGCGAAGGCAGCCCCCUGGGCUAACACUGACGCUCAUGCACGAAAGCGUGGGGAGCAAACAGGAUUAGAUACCCUGGUAGUCCACGCCCUAAACUAUGUCAACUGGUUGUCGGGGAAGCAAUUCCUUGGUAACGAAGCUAACGCGUGAAGUUGACCGCCUGGGGAGUACGGCCGCAAGGUUA
rnacentral:rRNA from 1 species